UUGCCACCGCCUGCCUCCUAGCUGUGCGCCUCGCGCCGCCCCACCGUCCCACCAUCCACGCCGGCAUGGAAUCGAAGAAGCAGCCCCUCUCCUCACUCUAUGAAGACCCGGUGCCGGCGGUGAAGAAGACCAGCGCCCGCGCCCAGUCCAGCGAGGAGGAGAACUGGAGCAUAGGUUCUCUGAAACAGCACCCCCCUCCGCCUUGCCGUCUCUCUGCCCACAUCGAUGUGGAGAGGCGAAGAGCGCUGCGAAGGAACAUGCAAACGACCGUGAGGAAUGGGCAGCAGGCUUUGCACGCGGUUGAGAGCUUCGACGAUGGGAUCAGAGCUGGACAGCCGAGGAAGAGCGGAAGAUGGAGGAAUAACGCUGCAGGGAGAGGAGCAGGGUAGAGGCGGCGACAGAAGGCACGAAGUUCGGGGAGGGGGAGUGUCUGCUAUGUCUGUGAGAUGAUUCUACUCCCUACUCUGGUGCUGCUGAUGGAGCAACCGCCUAGAUGACGAGGCUCUCCCGGCUUCUAUUUUGGAAUGGAGGUACGUAGAGCCAUGGGAGUUGCUAGAAGCAUGUUUGGGAUAUGAACAUGACUCCAAGAGGCUGGUCACUUGUGGAUUUGGAAAAAGGGAAGACACGUGGUGAGGUACUACACCGUACUUAAAUAGAGGAGAUGGUAUAUUAAGUACAAAUAGGUUCUUGAAAGUUAAUUGUCAUGAGUUUUAGAUACCAUGUUGUGGAAUUAGAUUCUAUGAAUUGCUGCUUCUCAUGAUGAUUCCUCUAAAUAUUUUAUUAUAUUAUUUUCUGUGCA